rnacentral:rRNA from 1 species
ACGUACGCUGGCGGCACGCCUAACACAUGCAAGUCGAACGAAGUAGCAAUACUUAGUGGCAGACGGGUGAGUAACAUGUAGGUAUCUGCCCUUUGGCCUGGAAUAACACGAGGAAACUUGUGCUAAUACCGGAUAAGUCUUUACGGAGAAAGCUUUAUGCACCAUUGGAUGAGCCUGCACUUGAUUAGUUUGUUGGUGGGGUAAUGGCCUACCAAGACUGUGAUCAAUAGCUGAUUUGAGAGGAUGAUCAGCCACAUUGGGACUGAGACACGGCCCAAACUCCUACGGGAGGCAGCAGUGGGGAAUCUUGCACAAUGGAGGAAACUCUGAUGCAGCGAUGCCGCGUGAGUGAAGAAGGCCCUUGGGUUGUAAAGCUCUUUCGUCGGGGAAGAAAAUGACUGUACCCGAAUAAGAAGGUCCGGCUAACUUCGUGCCAGCAGCCGCGGUAAUACGAAGGGACCUAGCGUAGUUCGGAAUUACUGGGCUUAAAGAGUUCGUAGGUGGUUGAAAAAGUUAGUGGUGAAAUCCCAGAGCUUAACUCUGGAACUGCCAUUAAAACUUUUCAGCUAGAGUAUGAUAGAGGAAAGCAGAAUUUCUAGUGUAGAGGUGAAAUUCGUAGAUAUUAGAAAGAAUACCAAUUGCGAAGGCAGCUUUCUGGAUCAUUACUGACACUGAGGAACGAAAGCAUGGGUAGCGAAGAGGAUUAGAUACCCUCGUAGUCCAUGCCGUAAACGAUGUGUGUUAGACGUUGGAAAUUUAUUUUCAGUGUCGCAGGGAAACCGAUAAACACACCGCCUGGGGAGUACGACCGCAAGGUUAAAACUCAAAUGAAUUGACGGGGACCCGCACAAGUAGUGGAGCAUGUGGUUUAAUUCGAAGAUACGCGCAGAACCUUACCAACACUUGACAUGUUCGUCGCGACUCUAAGAGAUUAGAGUUUUCGGUUCGGCCGGACGAAACACAGGUGCUGCAUGGCUGUCGUCAGCUCGUGUCGUGAGAUGUUGGGUUAAGUCCCGCAACGAGCGCAACCCUCACUUUUAGUUGCCAUCAUUAAGUUGGGCACUCUGAAAGAACUGCCAGUGAUAAGCUGGAGGAAGGUGGGGAUGACGUCAAGUCCUCAUGGCCCUUACGUGUUGGGCUACACACGUGCUACAAUGGUAUCUACAACAGGAAGCAAGACUGCGAAGUUAAGCAAAUCCCGAAAAGAUACCUCAGUUCGGAUUGCACUCUGCAACUCGAGUGCAUGAAGCUGGAAUUACUAGUAAUCGUGGAUCAGCGUGCCACGGUGAAUGCGUUCCCGGGUCUUGUACUCACCGC